rnacentral:misc_RNA from 1 species
UUUUGGCUAAUGGCUGCUUGCCUUGCAUCUAAGCUUGGUUGGUGGCUGUUAGCUGGGUGGUUUCGGGGAUGUCUACCGUAAAGGUGCAUGAGUGGUGUUUGGUUUGUUACGGGUGGUUGGCUCUUUGCUUGCGCAACAACUUCCACCUGGCAUACCUCUUCAGUUUUGUGUCAAUGCUUGUAUCGCAUUGAACGCACCGUGGGUUUCUUGUGUUGCAUGCCUAACUGAUGGUAUCGUUUAAUGAAUUGAUGUCUAUUUUCGUCUUGUGUCGCACAUGCGAUGCGAGAUGAACCUGAAAGCAGCCUUUGUGAUCCACUCUUUCGAUGCACACACAUCAAUUUUGUGGCUCACUUAGUGCUGCUUGGUCUCAUCGAUAUGGAACCUUGUGUGGGCAUGGGAUCUUUUACUAGCUCCUUGCUUGCCCUAGUUAAGCUUUUCAAUUACGAUUUCCUAUCACGUCUUAACGUGGUAGGCUAUAUCGAAUAUGAAUG